GUAAGGAGGAGGAAGGUGUGGACGACGUCAAGUCAUCAUGGCCCUUAUGCCCAGGGCGACACACGUGCUACAAUGGCAUAUACAAUGAGACGCAAUACCGCGAGGUGGAGCAAAUCUAUAAAAUAUGUCCCAGUUCGGAUUGUUCUCUGCAACUCGAGAGCAUGAAGCCGGAAUCGCUAGUAAUCGUAGAUCAGCCAUGCUACGGUGAAUACGUUCCCGGGUCUUGUACUCACCGCCCGUCACACCAUGGGAGUUGAUUUCACUCGAAGCCGGAAUACUAAACUAGUUACCGUCCACAGUGGAAUCAGCGACUGGGGUGAAGUCGUAACAAGGUAACCGUAGGAGAACCUGCGGUUGGAUCACCUCCUUUCUAG
rnacentral:rRNA from 1 species